rnacentral:rRNA from 1 species
GACGAACGCUGGCGGCGUGCCUAACACAUGCAAGUCGAACGGAGUUGAUUCUUCGGAAUUAACUUAGUGGCGAACGGGUGAGUAACGCGUGAGAAACCUGCCUUUCAGUGGGGGACAACAGUUGGAAACGACUGCUAAUACCGCAUAAUGUCAUUUGGGGGCAUCCCCGAAUGACCAAAGAUUUAUUGCUGAAAGAUGGUCUCGCGUCUGAUUAGCUAGAUGGCGGGGUAGCGGCCCACCAUGGCGACGAUCAGUAGCCGGUCUGAGAGGAUGAACGGCCACAUUGGGACUGAGAUACGGCCCAGACUCCUACGGGAGGCAGCAGUGGGGAAUAUUGGGCAAUGGGCGAAAGCCUGACCCAGCAACGCCGCGUGAAGGAAGAAGGCCUUCGGGUUGUAAACUUCUUUUACCAGGGACGAAUAAUGACGGUACCUGGAGAAAAAGCAACGGCUAACUACGUGCCAGCAGCCGCCGCCGUAA